AAACCAGCACCUCAAGUGGUCAGGAUGAUUAUUGGGCCUAAAGCAUCCGUAGCCGGCUCUGUAAGUUUUCGGUUAAAUCUGUACGCUCAACGUACAGGCUGCCGGUAAUACUGCAGAGCUAGGGAGUGGGAGAGGUAGACGGUACUCGGGAGGAAGUGGUAAAAUGCUUUGAUCUCUCGAUGACCACCUGUGGCGAAGGCGGUCUACCAGAACACGUCCGACGGUGAGGGAUGAAAGCUGGGGGAGCAAACCGGAUUAGAUACCCGGGUAGUCC
rnacentral:rRNA from 1 species